rnacentral:sRNA from 1 species
CUCUAGGCUGCCGCGGCGGCUCUAGGCUGGGCUGCUGGGCGCGGGGCCAGGGCGGGCCGGGAGAGGCUGCGCCGGCGGCGGAUCGCGCAGAGGGCGGUGGCCUGGGCCGGCCGAACCAUGGCGGCCCCGGAGCCGGCGCCGAGGCGGGCCCGGGAACGGGAGCGGGAGCGGGAGGACGAGAGCGAGGACGAGAGCGACAUCCUGGAGGAAAGCCCGUGUGGUCGCUGGCAAAAGCGACGGGAGCAGGUAAACCAGGGGAACAUGCCAGGGCUUCAGAGCACCUUCCUAGCCAUGGACACGGAGGAGGGGGUAGAGGUGGUGUGGAACGAGCUCCACUUUGGAGACAGGAAGGCCUUCGCGGCGCACGAGGUGAGACCGCUGCCCCCUCCUCAUCCUGCUUGGGUGACCACCUGCUGACCACCCAGCGACCACCCUCCCUCCCCAGGAGAAGAUCCAGACCGUGUUCGAGCAGCUGGUGCUGGUGGACCACCCGAACAUCGUGAAGUUGCACAAGUACUGGCUGGAUACCUCUGAGGCCUGCGCGAGGGUCAUCUUCAUCACAGAGUACGUGUCAUCCGGCAGCCUCAAGCAAUUCCUCAAAAAGACCAAGAAGAACCACAAGGCCAUGAACGCCCGGGUAUGGGGAGCGGGCUGGGGCAGCCACGGGGACAGGACGGGGUUGGGGCAGCCUCGGGGACUGGGAUGGUGAGGGGGUGCCCGGCGGCCUCGGACGGGGGCUGGGCGAGGAUGCGGGGCGGGCUCCGCAGGCCCAGCCGCCUCUCCUGCGCCCACCCGACGGAGUCGUGCGUCCGCCGCCAGGCCUGGAAGCGCUGGUGCACGCAGAUCCUGUCUGCGCUCAGCUUCCUGCACGCUUGCAGCCCCCCGAUCAUCCACGGGAACCUGACCAGCGACACCAUCUUCAUUCAGCACAACGGCCUCAUCAAGAUCGGCUCCGUGUGGCACCGAAUCUUCUCCAAUGGUAAGUGCGGACUUUGGGGGGAUGGGGUCCUGGAGAGGUCCCCACCCGCUCAGCUCUGCGCCCUUCCACAGCGCUUCCAGAUGAUCUCCGAAGCCCCAUCCGCGCUGAGCGAGAGGAACUUCGGAACCUGCACUUCUUCCCCCCAGAGUAUGGCGGUGAGUGGCGCUGGGUCCGGGCGCCCCGUGCCUGCCCUGCGCUUCUCUCCUACCUGUCCUGUGCUCUCUUCUGUUCAGAGGUGGCCGAUGGGACCGCUGUGGACAUCUUCUCCUUUGGGAUGUGUGCGCUGGAGAUGGCUGUACUGGAAAUCCAGACCAAUGGGGACACCCGGGUAACAGAGGAGGCCAUUGCUCGCGCCAGGCACUCGCUGAGUGACCCCAACAUGCGGGAGUUCAUCCUUUGCUGCCUGGCCCGGGACCCUGCCCGCCGGCCCUCUGCCCACAGCCUCCUCUUCCACCGCGUGCUCUUCGAGGUGCACUCGCUGAAGCUCCUGGCAGCCCACUGCUUCAUCCAGCACCAGUACCUCAUGCCUGAGAAUGUGGUGGAGGAGAAGACCAAGGCCAUGGACCUGCACGCAGUCUUGGCGGAGCUUCCCCGGCCCCGCAGGCCCCCGUUGCAGUGGCGGUACUCGGAGGUCUCCUUCAUGGAGCUGGACAAAUUCCUGGAGGAUGUCAGGUGAGAACUGAUGUAAGGUUGGGGGCCAGGCAGCUGUCAGGCCUGAACCCCCAGCCACCCUGUUGUGUCCCCAGGAAUGGAAUCUACCCACUGAUGAACUUUGCAGCCACUCGGCCCCUGGGGCUGCCCCGUGUGCUGGCCCCACCCCCGGAGGAGGUCCAAAAGGCCAAGACCCCGACGCCAGAGCCCUUUGACUCUGAGACCAGAAAGGUCAUCCAGAUGCAGUGCAACCUGGAGAGAAGCGAGGACAAGGCGCGCUGGCAUCUCACUCUGCUUCUGGUGCUGGAAGACCGGCUGCACCGGCAGCUGACCUACGACCUGCUCCCAACGGACAGCGCCCAGGACCUCGCCUCGGAGCUCGUGCACUAUGGCUUCCUCCACGAGGACGACCGGAUGAAGCUGGCCGCCUUCCUGGAGAGCACCUUCCUCAAGUACCGUGGGACCCAGGCCUGACCCGGAGCCCCAGCCCCAGGGGACCAUGCCGGGGUGCUGCCCGGGCAGGCCAUGUUGGGGAGACCCCAGCACCGUGGGGCUGCCCUCCUCCAUGCGCCUGGGAGCACAAAGGCCCCGGUAGUGAAGGAACCCCCGCCUCCUGAGAGUGGGGCUGACCCUGCCUCGGGCGCCGAGGGGUUGGGGGGUGGGUGUGGGGGAGCCGUUAGGCCUCCCAGGUCCUUAGGAUCAGGGUUGCCCCCAGAACCCCUUCCCAUAUCCUCCAUUCUCCGCCCUGAGUUCCUACCCAGGCUGCCUGGCCAGGGCCACUGCCUCCUCAGCAUGCAGGAGGCUGCCCUGUAGGGAACCCCAGCUCUGGGGCUUGGGGGUGAGGGUCAGCCCUGGACAGACCUCUGCCCAGGGAACUGCUCCAUGGGGUCUGGGAGAGCAGCCAUCCCCGGCUGGCACCAUAGACCCACACAAGGAGCCUGCACAGCAAGCCAGCGGUGACACACCUGCAGGUGUCAGGCAUGGCACUGGGCACAACAGGGACCUGGCAGGAGAAACAGACCACAGAGAGGUCUGGAGUUGAGGCUGUCGUCAGCAAAGCCCCUGGUCCCACACAGCUCUGCCCUAGAGCCACCUCUUUGACCCUUUACCCACCCUGAGACCAGAACCUGCAGCCCCUCUGCAGAUCUCCUCUGGCCACUGCAGCCCCUCCAAUGGGCUUUUUCUCUCAUGCAUUCCCUGGCCUGGAGGCGUCAGGGACCCCACAUCCUCCCUGCUCCUCAGACUCACACCCCCUCCAUGUUACCUCCCGCACCUCCUCCCUGGGGCAGCUGCUCCCUGGGCCUCUGAGGAUGUCAGCUCCUGGCUCCCUGCCUCUCUCCCACUCCACUCCUGGCUCAGUCUUAGAGAUUUCUAUGCCCUCAUGGAUUCUACCCCUGCCUUCCUAGCCUCUUGAUUCUUGGCUUGCCUCUCCUCCAAUUCCAAACUUAGUGAAAUGGCCUUAAGCAUUUUAAACUGUAUGUAUAAAUUUAGUGCAUUCAUGCCUUUUUAAAAGCAUUUCAAAUGUCAACCAGGAAGGCACACCACUGUAUUAGUUUUAUACUGCCGCUGUAAAAUUUACCACAAACUUAGUGACUUAACACAAAUUUAUUGCAAUUCUGUAGGAUGGAAGUCUGACUAUGGGGUCUCACUGGACUAGAAUCAAGGCUGGCAGGCUGCCUUCCUUCCUGGAGGUUCUAGGGGAGACUCUGUCUCCUGCUCCUUCAGGCUGCUGGCAGAAUCCACAUCCUUUCGGUGGCAGGGCCAAGGUCCCCACUUUCUUGCUGACUGUAAACUAAGGCCACUUCCAGCUUGUAGAGGCUGCCUACAUUCCUUGGCUCUUGGCCCCCUCCUCCAUCUUCAAAGCUAGCAGGUUCAGUCUGUGUCACGAACCACUUUCUCUGGUUCUCUGCAGACAGGAAAGGUUGUCCCUAAGGACUCAUGAGAUUAGGUUGGGCCCAGCCAGAUAAUACAUGAUAAUCUCCCUCCUCAAGGUUUUUUAAUAUUAAACACAUCUGCAGGACACAUUUUGCCAUGUAAACUAACAUUCACUGGUUCCAGGGAUUAAGGAAUGAACCUCUUGUUGGGGAAGGGUGGCAUUCUGCUGACCACAGCACUCCAACCAAAAGCCAAAAACCAAAGCAAGACUUAACUAACGCAUAUCAAAUAAAUUAAAUGCACAAAAUCGUGAAUCUGUUAUCUUAAAUAUUCCAAUACUAUUUACAAAAUUAUUCAAAUUCUCACGCCUUCCAACUCAAAAUUAGCAAUCUAAAGUAAUUUCCAUAUCCUAGCUGGAAACCCUCAUGCUAAACUGUCUGAUUAUGCAUGGUUCUAAAUGGUUUCAGUGGCAAAUACAUAACAUUGUACUACUGAUUAAACUGAACUUAAAAGCAUCAAUACUACCAUUGCUGCACUUAAUCAUGUCUCUGUUGAAUUUUUCCUUUUAAAUUUUAUCUUUUCAGAAUUAUAUAUGUAUUGUUUUUAAAGUAGAAUAGUUUUUUUUUUUUGAGGCCAGUAAUAAAUAAUAAUUGCAGGCUCCUACUCUGA